CCUACGGGUGGCAGCAGUGGGGAAUAUUGGACAAUGGGGGGAACCCUGAUCCAGCGACGCCGCGUGAGUGAAGAAGUAUUUCGGUAUGUAAAGCUCUAUCAGCAGGGAAGAAAGAAAUGACGGUACCUGACUAAGAAGCCCAGGCUAACUACGUGCCAGCAGCCGCGGUAAUACGUAGGGAGCAAGCGUUAUCCGGAUUUACUCGGUGUAAAGGGAGCGUAGGCGUCGAUGCAAGUCUGAAGUGAUAGGCGGGGGCCCAACCCCCGGACUGGCUUGGAAACUGUAUGGCUGGAGUGCAGGGGAGGUAAGUGGAAUUCCUAGGGUAGCGGUGAAAUGCGUAGAUAUUAGGAGGAACACCAGUGGCGAAGGCGGCUUACUGGACUGUAACUGACGUUGAGGCUCGAAAGCGUGGGGAGCAAACAGGAUUAGAUACCCUUGUAGUC
rnacentral:rRNA from 1 species